CUAAUUAUGAAUCCAGCAAUUCUUAUGCUCCUUUGUGCUCUCAAGGCCGGCAUAUUCAUACUAUUUGCUGCUUUGACACUGGGAAUGUGCUUUUCAAUUUAUAAAGUUUUGCCUGAGAAAGAUGGCGAAGGAGUUGAAAGGAGUCCUCCUCAAUUCGUAUAACUUUUUUUUGUUCAGAGAUGUAAAAGAAUGUAUUCUACAGGCAUAUUUCACUUCAGUUCAUCAAUAUAAAACACAGUCAAUUAUUGUUGUAUUGACUCCCAACUAAGUCGAAAAAUAGUGCUAAUGGGUGAUUUACCUACAAAGAUGAAGCAAAUUAUUGUUGAGGUGUUCAACAAAUCAAUCGCUAAUGAUGGGGAAGGCUGUGAAAGCAACUGUAAGUAACAACUAAGUGCUGGAUUUCCGUUGCCGUAAUAAAGUCAACAAUACCAGAUGAAGAUUGGCAGCAAUACCUUAUAUAGGCUGUUUCUAACAGCUUACAUUCAUAAUCUCCUGUAAUUAACAAACUGAUUCCAAUUUCAGUACUGAAAUUUUAUCAGUUAAACAACUUCAUAGAUAGUUGAAUGACACAAGAAGGAGAAUAAAAAAAAGUAAACCAAAGAGAUCUUUAGUAAACAGAGAUGGUCAUAUUAUAGGAAGCGCUCAGAUGAUGACUUGAAAAAGCAAAUGAUUUCUCUAGUCCAGAUGCCGGUAACUCAUUUAUGCUACUGGAGUUAUUUAAUUUCAGCAUCUAAUAAGUUAAAUACUAAGUUCUGAUAAUAAAUAUGAAACUUUAUUGGUCAAACAAAAUAAUAUGGGGAAUAAAUCGCAAACAAGGACUUAAUAACACAAAGGACAGACUCAAGAAAGGUUGUUCAGUACCCAAGCGACAAGGCUGAAUGCAGAAAAUCUUAUUUUGCACUUCUCGUUAAACUUGUUCAAAUAAUCAUGAGGAGUCCAGUAACGAGUCUAUAAUGUAAGAUCCCACCCGUCAACAUAUUUCAUCAGAGUGCACCUCAACUGUUCCAAGAUACAGGACUGCAAAAUAAGAACCUUUUCCUUUCUUUUAGACGUAAAAGGAUCAGAAUACCCCCUAAAGCAUGCUUUCUAAACUUUGACCAACAAAAACACUAUCCCAAAGAAAUUCAAAUUCAAACUGUUCCCUACAACAUGUUUAAAAGAGUUGAAAGAAAAGAAUGAAGAACUUCAAAGCUACAAAAAAGGAACAGUAGCGAAAUUGCAGCUGUAAAUUGCUACAACAAUUUGAAGAUGAAGAAAGAGAAAGCUGAAACUUUUUGGAAUUCUAUUUUCAUUCUAAUACAUUUAAG
rnacentral:lncRNA from 1 species